CCUACGGGAGGCUGCAGUGAGGAAUAUUGGUCAAUGGGCGGGAGCCUGAACCAGCCAAGUCGCGUGAGGGAAGACGGUCCUAUGGAUUGUAAACCUCUUUAGGCGGGGAGCAAUGCCGGGCACGCGUGCCCGGAGGGAGAGUACCCGCAGAAUAAGCAUCGGCUAACUCCGUGCCAGCAGCCGCGGUAAUACGGAGGAUGCGAGCGUUAUCCGGAUUUAUUGGGUUUAAGGGGUGCGUAGGCGGAUGUUUAAGUCAGCGGUAAAAUGUCCGGGCUCAACCCGGGCCGGCCGUUGAUACUGGGGAGCUUGAGUGGGCGAGAAGUAUGCGGAAUGCGUGGUGUAGCGGUGAAAUGCAUAGAUAUCACGCAGAACUCCGAUUGCGAAGGCAGCAUACCGGCGCCCGACUGACGCUGAGGCACGAAAGCGUGGGGAUCGAACAGGAUUAGAUACCCUUGUAGUC
rnacentral:rRNA from 1 species